rnacentral:misc_RNA from 1 species
GAAAUGCGAUAAGUAAUGUGAAUUGCAGAAUUCAGUGAAUCAUCGAAUCUUUGAACGCACAUUGCGCCCGCCAGUAUUCUGGCGGGCAUGCCUGUUCGAGCGUCAUUACAACCCUCAGGCCCCCCCGGGCCUGGCGUUGGGGAUCGGCGGAAGCCCCCUGCGGGCACAACGCCGUCCCCCAAAUACAGUGGCGGUCCCGCCGCAGCUUCCAUUGCGUAGUAGCUAACACCUCGCAACUGGAGAGCGGCGCGGCCACGCCGUAAAACACCCAACUUCUGAAUGUUGACCUCGAAUCAGGUAGGAAUACCCGCUGAACUUAAGC